GACGGAGGGAGCAAGCGUUGUCCGGAAUUACUGGGCGUAAAGAGCUCGUAGGCGGGGACUUAAGUCUGGGAGUAAAUUUACCGGCUCAACCGGUGAGUCAUUCUGGAUACUGGGUCUCUUGAGGACAGGAGAGGGAAGCGGAAUUCCUAGUGUAGCGGUGAAAUGCGUAGAUAUUAGGAGGAACACCAGUGGCGAAGGCGGCUUCCUGGCCUGGUCCUGACGCUGAGGAGCGAAAGCUAGGGGAGCGAACGGGAUUAGAUACCCCCGUAGUCC
rnacentral:rRNA from 1 species